GGGUUGUGAGGUUAAGCGACUAAGCGUACACGGUGGAUGCCCUGGCAGUCAGAGGCGAUGAAGGACGUGCUAAUCUGCGAUAAGCGUCGGUAAGGUGAUAUGAACCGUUAUAACCGGCGAUUUCCGAAUGGGGAAACCCAGUGUGAUUCGUCACACUAUCAUUAACUGAAUCCAUAGGUUAAUGAGGCGAACCGGGGGAACUGAAACAUCUAAGUACCCCGAGGAAAAGAAAUCAACCGAGAUUCCCCCAGUAGCGGCGAGCGAACGGGGAGGAGCCCAGAGCCUGAAUCAGUGUGUGUGUUAGUGGAAGCGUCUGGAAAGGCGCGCGAUACAGGGUGACAGCCCCGUACACAAAAAUGCACAUACUGUGAGCUCGAUGAGUAGGGCGGGACACGUGGUAUCCUGUCUGAAUAUGGGGGGACCAUCCUCCAAGGCUAAAUACUCCUGACUGACCGAUAGUGAACCAGUACCGUGAGGGAAAGGCGAAAAGAACCCCGGCGAGGGGAGUGAAAAAGAACCUGAAACCGUGUACGUACAAGCAGUGGGAGCCUCUUAAUGGGGUGACUGCGUACCUUUUGUAUAAUGGGUCAGCGACUUAUAUUCUGUAGCAAGGUUAACCGAAUAGGGGAGCCGAAGGGAAACCGAGUCUUAACUGGGCGUUAAGUUGCAGGGUAUAGACCCGAAACCCGGUGAUCUAGCCAUGGGCAGGUUGAAGGUUGGGUAACACUAACUGGAGGACCGAACCGACUAAUGUUGAAAAAUUAGCGGAUGACUUGUGGCUGGGGGUGAAAGGCCAAUCAAACCGGGAGAUAGCUGGUUCUCCCCGAAAGCUAUUUAGGUAGCGCCUCGUGAAUUCAUCUCCGGGGGUAGAGCACUGUUUCGGCAAGGGGGUCAUCCCGACUUACCAACCCGAUGCAAACUGCGAAUACCGGAGAAUGUUAUCACGGGAGACACACGGCGGGUGCUAACGUCCGUCGUGAAGAGGGAAACAACCCAGACCGCCAGCUAAGGUCCCAAAGUCAUGGUUAAGUGGGAAACGAUGUGGGAAGGCCCAGACAGCCAGGAUGUUGGCUUAGAAGCAGCCAUCAUUUAAAGAAAGCGUAAUAGCUCACUGGUCGAGUCGGCCUGCGCGGAAGAUGUAACGGGGCUAAACCAUGCACCGAAGCUGCGGCAGCGACGCUGAUGCGUUGUUGGGUAGGGGAGCGUUCUGUAAGCCUGUGAAGGUGGCCUGUGAGGGUUGCUGGAGGUAUCAGAAGUGCGAAUGCUGACAUAAGUAACGAUAAAGCGGGUGAAAAGCCCGCUCGCCGGAAGACCAAGGGUUCCUGUCCAACGUUAAUCGGGGCAGGGUGAGUCGACCCCUAAGGCGAGGCCGAAAGGCGUAGUCGAUGGGAAACAGGUUAAUAUUCCUGUACUUGGUGUUACUGCGAAGGGGGGACGGAGAAGGCUAUGUUGGCCGGGCGACGGUUGUCCCGGUUUAAGCGUGUAGGCUGGUUUUCCAGGCAAAUCCGGAAAAUCAAGGCUGAGGCGUGAUGACGAGGCACUACGGUGCUGAAGCGACAAAUGCCCUGCUUCCAGGAAAAG
rnacentral:rRNA from 1 species